GUCUCCGUGGCAGAGCGGCCAAAUGCAGUCAUAGGUGGCACGGUUGGCGGCGCCGCUUGCCGUGUCUCGUCGGUUCGAGUCCGACCGGAGACG
rnacentral:tRNA from 2 species